rnacentral:rRNA from 1 species
GACGAACGCUGGCGGCGUGCUUAACACAUGCAAGUCGAACGAUGAAGCCGGAGCUUGCUCUGGUGAAUUAGUGGCGAACGGGUGAGUAACACGUGAGUAACCUGCCCUUGACUCUGGGAUAACUGCUAGAAAUGGUAGCUAAUACCGGAUACGACCCUCGGAGGCAUCUCCAGGGGGUGGAAAGAAUUUCGGUCAAGGAUGGACUCGCGGCCUAUCAGCUAGUUGGUGAGGUAACGGCUCACCAAGGCGACGACGGGUAGCCGGCCUGAGGUGGUGACCGGCCACACUGGGACUUAGACACGGCCCAGACUCCUACGGGAGGCAGCAGUGGGGAAUAUUGCACAAUGGGCGCAAGCCUGAUUCAGCAACGCCGCGGGAGGGAUGACGGCCUUCGGGUUGUAAACCUCUUUUAGUAGGGAAGAAGCGAAAGUGACGGUACCUGCAGAAAAAGCACCGGCUAACUACGUGCCAGCCGCCGCCGUAA